UCUUGUUUUAUGUACUUCAACAA
rnacentral:snRNA from 1 species